rnacentral:sRNA from 1 species
AAGACCAGCUUUGGCAGCAGCUUUAGCUUUUUCAGCAGACAAAGGAGCAAUCUU